rnacentral:rRNA from 1 species
CCUACGGGAGGCUGCAGUAGGGAAUAUUGCUCAAUGGGGGAAACCCUGAAGCAGCAACGCCGCGUGGAGGAUGAAGGUUUUCGGAUUGUAAACUCCUUUUGUUAGAGAAGAUAAUGACGGUAUCUAACGAAUAAGCACCGGCUAACUCCGUGCCAGCAGCCGCGGUAAUCCGGAGGGUGCAAGCGUUACUCGGAAUCACUGGGCGUAAAGAGCACGGAGGCGGGAUCGCAAGUCAGAUGUGAAAUCCUCUGGCUUAACCAUAGAACUGCAUUUGAGACUGGUAUUCUAGAGUAUGGGAGAGGUAGGUAGAAUUCUUGGUGUAGGGGUGAAAUCCGUAGAGAUCAAGAGGAAUACUCAUUGCGAAGGCGACCCGCUAGACCAUGACUGACGCUGAUGCGCGAAAGCGUGGGGAGCAAACAGGAUUAGAUACCCGAGUAGUC